AGCGAACGCUGGCGGCGUGCCUAACACAUGCAAGUCGAACGUGAAAGGGAGCAAUCCCAAGUAAAGUGGCGUACGGGUGAUUAACACGUAGUUAAUCUACCCCAGAAUCUGGAAUAACCGGCCGAAAGGCUUGCUAAUACUGGAUAUAGCUACUGAAUCCGUAAUUGGGUUUUUCGGGAAAGGGAGCCUGUAAAAAGGCCUUCGUUCUGGGUUGAUCCUUCGUCCCAUCAGCUAGUUGGUGAGGUAAAAGCUUACCAAGGCAAUGGCGGGUAGCUGGUCUGAGAGGACGAUUCGCCAACAUGGAAAUGAAACACGGUCCAGAAUCCUAAGGGAGGCAGCAGUGGGGAAUCUUGCGCAAUGGACGAAAGUCUGAAGCAGCAAAGCCGCGUGAGUGAAGAAGGGCUUCGGGUUGGAAAGCUCUGUCGAGUGGGAAGAAAAUGCUUGGAGUUAACAGCUCCAGGAAAUGACGGUACCAGAAAAGGAAGCACCGGCUAACUCCGUG
rnacentral:rRNA from 1 species